rfam:Homo sapiens chromosome 1, GRCh38 reference primary assembly.
CAAAAGGCUCUUUUCAGAGCCACCCACAUCAGCACUUGGAAGAAG